AUUGAACGCUGGCGGCAGGCCUAACACAUGCAAGUCGAGCGGAUGAAGAGAGCUUGCUCUCUGAUUUAGCGGCGGACGGGUGAGUAAUGCCUAGGAAUCUGCCUGGUAGUGGGGGAUAACGUUCCGAAAGGAACGCUAAUACCGCGUACGCCCUACGGGAGAAAGCAGGGGACCUUCGGGCCUUGCGCUAUCAGAUGAGCCUAGGUCGGAUUAGCUAGUUGGUGAGGUAAUGGCUCACCAAGGCUACGAUCCGUAACUGGUCUGAGAGGAUGAUCAGUCACACUGGAACUGAGACACGGUCCAGACUCCUACGGGAGGCAGCAGUGGGGAAUAUUGGACAAUGGGCGAAAGCCUGAUCCAGCCAUGCCGCGUGUGUGAAGAAGGACUUCGGAUUGUAAAGCACUUUAAGUUGGGAGGAAGGGCGUUUGGCUAAUAUCCAGGCGUUUUGACGUUACCAACAGAAUAAGCACCGGCUAACUUCGUGCCAGCAGCCGCCGUAA
rnacentral:rRNA from 1 species